AGAUGGCCUGAAAAACUUGUAUAAUGGAAGAAUAAAAAAGCAGUCCAGAAUAUUAUCACAUUCUGCUCAUGCCUGACUUAAGGUUCCCAUUCCUGUAGCAGUGACAGCCAAACGGACUGCAUGUUUACUCCUCUGCUGCCACGAUUUACAAUGAAAAGUAAACUACCAGUGACUUCAGCAGAUGCUGAAGAGGAGAGGGAAGCUGUGACAGCUGGAAAGCAACAAGGCAACAGCUACUUUUCUGAGCAUUGAGUGACAGCGCCAUCAGCAACUGAACCAUCUUACCAGUCAUCAGAGAGAGCGCAGCCAGCUUUUUUUGUACAUUUGGGCCUGUUUUGGACUUUCUACUGGUAAAGCAUGUUUACAAUGUUCCCUUGGAGAACUCUGCUUUUAUGAUUGCACAGUUGCAAGUUUCAAGUUGACCCUGACAGCAAGCUGCUCAGCGGUAAAGCUCUGGGGAGAGAGUUCACAAGCUAAUUGCAAAGCUUUGAGAAGUUCAUAAAACCAGUUAUGAAGGCUGAUGCAAAAAUGCUCAAGCCAGAUCUAACGCUAAAGAGAUGCCACAAGAGAAAACUGGUCAUUACUGCCUGGUUAUCAAUAUACGUGUUAAAAUAACCAGCAGUGGUAGUAACUGGGCUGCAGUCAGCUCUUUGCAGCACACAUACACACUUAACCUUGUUACGUAGUCACGUCAGAGAAAACAAUUUUAACUCCUCCCUCCAUCCUCCAACCGAAAUUGGCCAAUUCUUCCUGAUGGUCUUUGCUGAGAUUACAGAAUCCAUAAAAGACUACAGACUCCUCAAGACUCAGAGAAAACUGAGACAAUAUUUAAAAAGACUCGAGAUUUAAAAAGGUGUUCACAAUAAAAGACCAAAACAAAACGGGCCCCUUGACAUAUUUUGAUGGAGGACUUGGAAGAGACUACCCAAUGUAUUGCCCAGGAAAAAGUGCUGUUUCACUCUUAACUUACAAGGGGUAAAUAAAAGUGAAAAUGCA